rnacentral:rRNA from 1 species
CCUACGAGAGGCAGCAGUGAGGAAUAUUGGUCAAUGGACGAGAGUCUGAACCAGCCAAGUAGCGUGAAGGAUGACUGCCCUAUGGGUUGUAAACUUGUUUUAUAAAGGAAUAAAACGAGGCACGUGUGCCUUUUUGCAUGUACUUUAUGAAUAAGGAUCGGCUAACUCCGUGCCAGCAGCCGCGGUAAUACGGAGGCUCCGAGCGUUAUCCGGAUUUAUUGGGUUUAAAGGGAGCGUAGAUGGGUUGUUAAGUCAGUUGUGAAAGUUUGCGGCUCAAACGUAAAAUUGCAAUUGAUACUUGCAGUCAUGAGUACAGUUGAGGUAGGCGGAAUUAGGGGUGUAGACGUUAAAUGCUUAGAUAUCA